rnacentral:rRNA from 1 species
AUGUAUGUUAUGCGUUCAAAUCUAUUGUCAUAUGUCAAAUUCGUUUCAAUACUCUCUAUACUUUUAAACAAAUGCGUCAUGGGCGGCUGCAAGGAGGUGACGGUGACCAUCACGUUUACCAACUUCACGCCUACGAGUGCGAGUGCUACCCGGGUGGUCUGGCCCAACGUCACCUUGCCAUUGCCAGUGCCGCCACACCUAUUUCUGCCGGACGAGGAUCGUUUUGAUCAUUUAUUAAACCUAAAGCUAAAGGCUUUCCCUUCAUUCAGGCCUAUCGAUACCGGAAUUCACUUGACCCCUGCUCAUACAAUGACUCUGGCUCGGAAGGCACGUGCGUGA